AAGUCGAGGGGCAGCGGGGGAGGAAGCUUGCUUUCUCCUGCCGGCGACCGGCGCACGGGUGAGUAACACGUAUGCAACCUGGCCGUCACAGGUGGAUAACCGGAAGAAAUUCCGACUAAUACAGCAUAACACUCCUGAGGGACAUCCUUCGGGAGUCAAAGGAGGUAACUCCGGUGACGGAUGGGCAUGCGGCGCAUUAGGUAGUUGGUAGGGUAACGGCCUACCAAGCCGACGAUGCGUAGGGGUUCUGAGAGGAAGGUCCCCCACAUUGGAACUGAGACACGGUCCAAACUCCUACGGGAGGCAGCAGUGAGGAAUAUUGGUCAAUGGCCGGAAGGCUGAACCAGCCAAGUCGCGUGAGGGAAUAAGGCCCUAUGGGUCGUAAACCUCUUUUGUCAGGGAGCAAAGGCGUCCACGAGUGGACGAAAGGAGAGUACCUGAAGAAAAAGCAUCGGCUAACUCCGUGCCAGCAGCCGCGGUAAUACGGAGGAUGCGAGCGUUAUCCGGAUUUAUUGGGUUUAAAGGGUGCGUAGGCGGAGUGUCAAGUCAGCGGUAAAAUUUCGGGGCUCAACCC
rnacentral:rRNA from 1 species